GUUAUAUGGUCAAGCGAAUAAGCGCACACGGUGGAUGCCUAGGCGGUCAGAGGCGAUGAAGGACGUGGUAGCCUGCGAAAAGUGUCGGAGAGCUGGCAACAAGCUUUGAUCCGGCAAUAUCCGAAUGGGGAAACCCACUGCUUCGGCAGUAUCCUGCAGUGAAUUCAUAGCUGCUGGAAGCGAACCCGGUGAACUGAAAUAUCUAAGUAACCGGAGGAAAAGAAAUCAACCGAGAUUCCCUAAGUAGUGACGAGCGAACGGGGAGCAGCCCUUAAGCUGGAAUGGCUUUAGAAAAACAAUCUGGAAAGAUUGGCCAUAGAAGGUGAUAGCCCUGUAUUUAAAAGGGCCACUCCAGUGAAGACGAGUAGGGCGGGGCACGUGAAACCCUGUCUGAAUAUGGGGGGACCAUCCUCCAAGGCUAAAUACUCCUGACCGACCGAUAGUGAACCAGUACCGUGAGGGAAAGGCGAAAAGAACCCCGGAGAGGGGAGUGAAAUAGAUCCUGAAACCGUGUGCGUACAAGCAGUAGGAGCUCGCAAGAGUGACUGCGUACCUUUUGUAUAAUGGGUCAGCGACUUACUGUUCGUGGCAAGCUUAACC
rnacentral:rRNA from 1 species